CAGGAGCGCGCGGACGGAGUCGGUUUUACCGGGCGCACGAGCAGGAGCCACAAUGAGUUUCGAUCUGUCAUCAGGAAAGUAGCAAGGACAGGUCUGGAAGUAAGGGAGACGGUGGAAAGAAGAAGGUCAAAAAGAAGAAGGAGAAGGGCAAAUCAGGCAACAGCAGUUCAUCAUCUUCCAGCAGUGAUGAAGAGAACUGACGCUUCCUGGGGGACCGGACUGCUCUGUUAGUUAUAAUGUCGUCUAACGUCUGAGUGAGUGCGUGAGGUUUUCUUCUGGUCCUUCUGUCAAUGUCGUGUGUAAGAAAACAG